rnacentral:tRNA from 1 species
UGCGUUCAAGGUGUUCGGGGUAUAGCGAUGCUUCGGGGGCGUCGAGGGCUGCUUUGCCGAGUUCGAGGAUUUCGGUGAGUUUGA